rnacentral:rRNA from 1 species
UGAGCAAUCUACCGAAAUGUGGGGGAUAGCCGGCCUAACGGCCGAGUAAUACCGCAUACGCUCUCGAUGAGGCAUUUUCAUUGAGAGGAAACCUACGGGACAUUUCGAGGGGCUCGCGGCCUAUCAGCUUGUUGGCGAGGUAACGGCUCACCAAGGCAAUGACGGGUAGCUGGUCUGAGAGGAUGGCCAGCCACAUUGGGACUGAGAUACGGCCCAGACCUCGUACCGGGGAG